rnacentral:rRNA from 1 species
CUUGCACUACUGUCCGGCGAGUGGCGAACGGGUGAGUAAUAUAUCGGAACGUACCGAGUAAUGGGGGAUAACCAAUCGGAAGAUUGGCUAAUACCGCAUACGUCCUACGGGAGAAAGCGGGGGAUCGCAAGACCUCGCGUUAUUCGAGCGGCCGAUAACUGAUUAGCUAGUUGGUGGGGUAAAGGCCUACCAAGGCGACGAUCAGUAGCGGGUCUGAGAGGACGAUCCGCCACACUGGGACUGAGACACGGCCCAGACUCCUACGGGAGGCAGCAGUGGGGAAUUUUGGACAAUGGGGGCAACCCUGAUCCAGCCAUGCCGCGUGUAUGAAGAAGGCCUUCGGGUUGUAAAGUACUUUUGUUAGGGAAGAAAAGGGAAGUGCUAAUACCACUUUUUGCUGACGGUACCUAAAGAAUAAGCACCGGCUAACUACGUGCCAGCAGCCGCGGUAAUACGUAGGGUGCGAGCGUUAAUCGGAAUUACUGGGCGUAAAGCGAGCGCAGACGGUUAUUUAAGCAGGAUGUGAAAUCCCCGGGCUUAACCUGGGAACUGCGUUCUGAACUGGAUUGCUAGAGUGUGUCAGAGGGGGGUAGAAUUCCACGUGUAGCAGUGAAAUGCGUAGAGAUGUGGAGGAAUACCGAUGGCGAAGGCAGCCCCCUGGGAUAACACUGACGUUCAUGCUCGAAAGCGUGGGUAGCAAACAGGAUUAGAUACCCUGGUAGUCCACGCCCUAAACGAUGUCGAUUAGCUGUUGGGCAACUUGAUUGCUUAGUAG